UACAGAGGGUGCAAGCGUUGUCCGGAAUCACUGGGCGUAAAGGGCGCGUAGGUGGCGCGGGAAGUCAACGGUGAAAGUUCGGGGCUCAACCCUGAAUCGGCCGUCGAGUACUCCCGGGCUCGAGCACUGUAGAGGCAGAUGGAAUUCCGGGUGUAGCGGUGGAAUGCGUAGAGAUCCGGAAGAACACCGGUGGCGAAGGCGGUCUGCUGGGCAGUUGCUGACACUGAGGCGCGACAGCGUGGGGAGCAAACAGG
rnacentral:rRNA from 1 species